CCGCCACCCCCAGGUGUACUUUGCCGUGGCGUAGUUUAUGCAGCCGGCGGCAAGCACUCCAAUUCCAAGGAAAAAUUCAAAGCCUGUGUUGAAGGCACCUCGCCAUUUGGGUGGUGCGAUUUCGGAAAGAGACAGAUAAAACUGUUAAAGCUAACCUGAUUAGUAAAGCCAAGUCCGAGGCCAAGAAGGAUACGACCAAGAAUGAGCAUAAGAAUAUUUUGUGCGGCUCCAUUAAGUGCAGCACCAGCAAGAAAGAUGGCCCCACCCAAGAUGAUGGUGUUUCUUCGGCCAAACUUUGUUGUUACUCGACUAGCUGCCAGAGAUGACACCAAACCAGCAAGAUAGAGAGAAGACGUGAAUAAUGUUAACAAUUCACUGUCAUACACACAAUACAUAUUUACUUCCGCAUCGGAUGCAUUUCGUAGAAUUGAUGGAAAGAACUUCCUAAGAAAUGGUACCAUCGUUGUUACACCUCCUGAAAUUACAUAACAUUCUCGGUAAAUUCACUCUCAACUUUAUAUAAAUUACUACUGAGAAAAAGUCUGUUUUAUGGGACCUUUUUUUAUUCCAAACUAAAAUUCGUUCAUUUUUCUCUUACACUUAAAUUAUAAUUUCAUAAAUUAUUUUAUUUAUACCUAUUAUUAUUAUCUUAUUAUAAGAUUUUAUUAUGAAAAGUAAUUCUUAAAUGGAUGUAGAUUAAAAAGUGAUGAAACUAGAAACGUAGAUUUACUAUUUUGGUUCGACUGAGAGGUGUGGACGAGAACCAAAGAUGAAAUUAAAUUGCGCAGGACAUCGGUUUUAUUAGUUGCAAUAAUACAUAAGAAAUACUAAGAAACUGUGGAACUUGUUCAAGAAUACUAUGUGGGUAAAUAGCAACUUCUCGUUUAUUUUUUAUUUUUUUUUUCAAUAAAAAAAAACACGUAUCAUUAUCAUGUAUUAAUAUAUUAUAUUUUCUCGUAUACCUAAUUUCUCUCUUAUUUCUUGUUUCCUUAUUAAGUAUUUUAUGAGCAAGAUAAUUUAUAUACUCUAUUCAUCUCUAAAAGUAGGAUAUUGUUUUGAAAAUCGUCAUAACCUUUUUAUAAGACUUUUUCUUUUUUUUUAUUUCAUAUAUUAAUUAUUUUUAUCAAAAUAUUCUUAAUUAUUAUAGUUCAGAACACAUUGUCAGUAAAAUAACAUUAUACCUGGUGCUAUAAUUAUUCAUUCUAUACCAAAUUUGAAUAUAUUUUAUCAUUAAUUAAAUUUAUAUGAAUAGUCUUAUUAUUCAAUAAAAUAACAAUCUAAUAAUAGAAGAUAUGAAAAAGAGUGAGUCGUUCACAAAUCACAUCACGAAAAGAAGAAAAACCUGAAACUCCAACGUCAUAUCCAAAAAUGAGUCCACUAGAGGCAGCAACGAUACACGUUAUGAGAACAGAGAGUGUUAUCUUGUCGCCGUGGAAGGCAGUCGGCAGUGCAUUCUCCGUGAAUCCCCCAACGGCCAUUUUCAGCUCUGUUAAUUGAUCUGAUUUACAGGUUCCAAGUGGUUAUUAGGGUGGAUGAUACUUGCGCGUCCCCAAUUUAUGCCUAAGGAAGUUUCUCACCCAAACGAAACAAAAUGGCUUCUUCAAAUGGAUGCAAUUACGUAUCUAUCUGUAGUUGUGAACAGUGCUGCAACCGUAUAUAAAAGUACCUUUUUUAA